rnacentral:rRNA from 1 species
GACGAACGCUGGCGGCGUGCCUAAUACAUGCAAGUAGGACGCUGAAGGAGGAGCUUGCUUCUCUGGAUGAGUUGCGAACGGGUGAGUAACGCGUAGGUAACCUGCCUGGUAGCGGGGGAUAACUAUUGGAAACGAUAGCUAAUACCGCAUAAGAUUGACUAUUGCAUGAUAGUCAGUUAAAAGGUGCAAUUGCAUCACUACCAGAUGGACCUGCGUUGUAUUAGCUAGUUGGUGGGGUAACGGCUCACCAAGGCGACGAUACAUAGCCGACCUGAGAGGGUGAUCGGCCACACUGGGACUGAGACACGGCCCAGACUCCUACGGGAGGCAGCAGUAGGGAAUCUUCGGCAAUGGACGGAAGUCUGACCGAGCAACGCCGCGUGAGUGAAGAAGGUUUUCGGAUCGUAAAGCUCGGUUGUAAGAGAAGAACGAGUGUGAGAGUGGAAAGUUCACACUGUGACGGUAGCUUACCAGAAAGGGACGGCUAACUACGUG